rnacentral:tRNA from 1 species
GCCUUCGUGGUGUAGUGGUCAGCACACUGGACGCGUAAACCAGAGGUCCGUGGUUCGCGUCCCGGCUAAGGCG